rnacentral:rRNA from 1 species
AGGACGAACGCUGGCGGCGUGCUUAACACAUGCAAGUCGAGCGAGGCCCGUCCUUCGGGACGGUGCCCUAGCGGCGAACGGGUGAGUAACACGUGGGCAACCUGCCCCUAGCACUGGGAUAACUCCGGGAAACCGGGGCUAAUACCGGAUAUGACCUUUGAGGGCAUCCUCGAAGGUGUAAAGGAUUCUGGCUAGGGAUGGGCCCGCGGCCUAUCAGCUUGUUGGUGGGGUAACGCCUACCAAGGCGACGACGGGUAGCCGGCCUGAGAGGGCGACCGGCCACACUGGGACUGAGACACGGCCCAGACUCCUACGGGAGGCAGCAGUGGGGAAUAUUGCACAAUGGGCGAAAGCCUGAUGCAGCGACGCCGCGUGAGGGAUGACGGCCUUCGGGUUGUAAACCUCUUUCAGCAGGGACGAAGCGAAAGUGACGGUACCUGCAGAAGAAGCACCGGCCAACUACGCGCCAGCAGCCGC